CCCCCCCCCCCUCCCCCCUCAGGGGGAAAACAAUGAUAGGUGCAUAAAGUGAUGUUAAUAGACCUUUCCCCUUUUAAGUGAAAAUUUGAUCUAGACGAGUCUGGACAAAAAUUUCAUCACAGCUUGAAAGAGCAUCACAAAAUUAGUAAUAUUCCAAAGUUUCGUUGCGAAAUGUUGUAAAAUGCGGAUAAUAUAUAGCCUUACAAUCUAACAUUUUGCAUCAGUUUGAUCAUCUGAUUAUCAAUUUCCCAUGUGUAAUACCAAAUGACUGAAAAACGGCAAACUUCGCAAGGCUGUAUUAUCCGCAUUUUACAACAUUUCGCAACGAAACUUCGGAAUAUUACUAAUUUUGUG